rnacentral:rRNA from 1 species
UACGAGGGGGGCGAGCGUUGUUCGGAAUUAUUGGGCGUAAAGGGUGCGUAGGCGGUUCCGCAAGUCCUGUGUGAAAUCUUCGGGCUCAACUCGAAGUCUGCACGGGAAACUGCGGGGCUUGAGUGUGGGAGAGGUGAGUGGAAUUCCCGGUGUAGCGGUGAAAUGCGUAGAUAUCAGGAAGAACACCCGUGGCUAAGGCGGCUCUCUAGUACGGUACUGACGCUGAGACGCGAAAGCGUAGGGAGCGAACAGG